AUCUGUAGCCAUACCGCCCUGAAAAUGCCUAGUCCCUUCUGAUCCAAAGCUAAGCAGGGUCUGGCCUGGUUAGUACUUGGAAGGGAGGCCUGAAGGUCAAUUUAAAUGUUUACUUCUU
rfam:Fukomys damarensis contig147243, whole genome shotgun sequence.